UACGGAGGGGGCAAGCGUUAUUCGGAAUCAUUGGGCGUAAAGAGCGUGUAGGCGGCCCGAUAAGUCCGCUGUGAAAGUCCAGGGCUCAACCCUGGAAUGCCGGUGGAUACUGUCGGGCUCGAAUCCGGAAGAGGUGAGUGGAAUUCCUGGUGUAGCGGUGAAAUGCGCAGAUAUCAGGAGGAACACCAAUGGCGAAGGCAGCUCACUGGGACGGUAUUGACGCUGAGACGCGAAAGCGUGGGGAGCAAACAGG
rnacentral:rRNA from 1 species